rnacentral:rRNA from 1 species
GGGAUAAGUUAGCGGCGGACGGGUGAGUAACACGUAGGUAACCUGCCUAUAAGAUCGGGAUAACUAUCGGAAACGAUAGCUAAGACCGGAUAACUGGUUUUCUCGCAUGAGAGAAUUAUGAAACACGGAGCAAUCUGUGGCUUAUAGAUGGGCCUGCGGCGCAUUAGCUAGUUGGUGGGGUAACGGCCUACCAAGGCGACGAUGCGUAGCCGACCUGAGAGGGUGAACGGCCACACUGGGACUGAGACACGGCCCAGACUCCUACGGGAGGCAGCAGUAGGGAAUCUUCCGCAAUGGACGCAAGUCUGACGGAGCAACGCCGCGUGAGUGAUGAAGGUUUUCGGAUCGUAAAGCUCUGUUGCCCUAGACGAACAGCAAGGAGAGUAACUGCCCUUUGUGUGACGGUAUAGGAGAAGAAAGCCCCGGCUAACUACGUGCCAGCAGCCGCGGUAAUACGUAGGGGGCAAGCGUUGUCCGGAAUUAUUGGGCGUAAAGCGCGCGCAGGCGGUCAAUUAAGUUGGGUGUUUAAGCCCGGGGCUCAACCCCGGUUCGCAUCCAAAACUGGUUGACUUGAGUGUAGGAGAGGAAAGUGGAAUUCCACGUGUAGCGGUGAAAUGCGUAGAGAUGUGGAGGAACACCAGUGGCGAAGG